UUUAAAAGACGUAGUGUGUCGUCAUGUUUUUGUGUAGCUCAGGAGGUUGUGAUAUUUUGCUGGCGGACAGACUGCAUUAACGGUCGUGUGUUAACCGCGUUCAAGAAUUUCAGCCUGAACUUGAAAAAUAAAAACGGUCGUCGUGGUUUUACCCAACGAUUCCCGUCAAGUUUCCUUUGUUUGUUUGUUUUGCCGUUGCUCGUUUCUAACGACAACUAAAGGAGCACGAAUGAUCCAGAUGAAGCUAAGAAGCGGAUGAAACGCGGACGUAAAUAAUUGGUGCUUGAAAUGGCGAAAAUCUAUAUCGGACUCAACCCAGAGAUGGAAUGUACGUCCACCUUUUAUCUGGUUCAGGGGCUUUGGACUACACUGACGAACAUGCGUGUUGCAGGACUACGCAGGGCUGGUGAAGUGAGUAGAAACGGCCUUCAGCACUUGUCCUGGACUGUUUCUGUCUACAGACACAUGUCAAUGUUAUCGGAUAGCAAACCCAGGAAGUGACUAUCUACUUUUCUCAUGUUGGUGACCUUGAUGGUUUUGAAGGAUCCCUGACUGAAGCUUUGGAGACAGAGGUGAUAGGGGCUGUAUUUAGUGCACAGCAAAGAGUGUUGUAUGACAAGCAGUUUAAGCCCACAAAUUUACACUUCACUUCACAUAUUUGUGUCUUUCAUCAGUAAUGCUGUCAGUUACUGUCAUGUGAUUUGUUAGAUACUGUGCAGUUAUUAGGCAUUUUGUUAGAAAAAAAAGAAGGUAAACAGGAAAUGGAAGAUGCUGUUGCAGGAAGAGGAAAAGAGAGACUGUCGUUUGGGGUGAGGUAGUAGGUUGUAUAGUUUGAGGGUUUAACCCUUGCUGUCAGAUAACUAUACAACUUACUGUCUUUCCCGAAGUGACCGUAGUGCCAUCACAUGGAGGACGUCAACAGGAAAGAAGAAAUAACACAUUUCCAGCUUCCAGCAUUAAUGUGUGUUUAUCAAAAAUAUGCUUUUAUUCUUGAUGCAGGCUUAAAUGUUUAUCAGAUAUUUACAAUAAAAGAAUUUAAAAACACGAUUCAUGCCAUACUGUUAGCAUAAAAAAAAAAAAAAAAACUGAUUAAAUUUGUGUUAGAAACGCAUUAAUGCAGCUUUGUUUUUGCUGCAUCACAUAUUGUUCAAACAUUCACAUGAAUCCAUAAAGAGGGCAGUAUAUGCUGAUAGUGAUGAUAACAAUAUGGCAAUUUUAAAUGAGAUUGAUGCUGUUGAACAUAAUUCAUUCUGAAACAUCCUUGAAAUCUCUAUUCUUUCUUGUAUUGGCGUAUUUCCUUCUGAAACAGAAAGUUUGAGUGGGGCAUAUUUAAGGGCUCAUCCCUUUUCAUCAAAUAGCCAAUAGCCUUCAGUUACAUCACAGUCAUGACUGAGUUUGAUUGGACAAAAUCAGUGUAGUGUAGCUGGUGUCAAUUUUUUUGGAAGAAACAAAAGACUAAACUGUCUUCUAGGAAUACAGAAGCAUGUGUGUGGGAACUGUAAAACUUCAAAACAGUAUAUAUACAAUAUAUAUACUAAUAUAAAAAGGUAUACGUAGUAUACGGUAUUACUGAUAAGAAUUCAAAAGGCAAAAAUGUGUCAUUGUGUUGUUGCGGAUUAUUCAGCAGUGAUGUUCGUACAGGGUGAGGUAGUAGGUUGUGUGGUUUCAGGGUUGUGUUUUUGCCCCAUCAGGAGAUAACUAUACAACCUACUGCCUUCCCUGAAGGGCAGCAAAACAUCGCCAGACAGUUCACCCACUCUAUGAAGAGUGAUUUCCUUUCGCAUUUCUUAAAUAUUUUAGUUUCCCAAGAUUCUAAUUAUGAUGAUCUUGCCAUUAAUAGCUGCAUGAGGAUUACAUACAGCACAGGUGUGUAAUACUUUAAACAGGAAUAAACAGUUUGAUAUUU